UACGGGGGGUGCAAGCGUUAAUCGGAAUCACUGGGCGUAAAGGGCGCGUAGGCGGUGCAUUAGGUCUGUCGUGAAAUCCCCGGGCUCAACCUGGGAAUGGCGGUGGAAACCGGUGUACUAGAGUAUGGGAGAGGGUGGUGGAAUUCCAGGUGUAGCGGUGAAAUGCGUAGAGAUCUGGAGGAACAUCAGUGGCGAAGGCGGCCACCUGGCCCAAUACUGACGCUGAGGCACGAAAGCGUGGGGAGCAAACAGG
rnacentral:rRNA from 1 species